CCUUAACGUCAAGUCUUGGCCCGUUUAUUUGGUAUGUUUCCUUUAUAUCUUCUUCUCCGUCCAAAAACCAAACCCUACCUCAAUCCUCAUUCAACCAACCAGAACCACCUUAAGGAGCUCAAACCGUAAACAAACCUUCACCAAAUUUGCAACCCCCAAACUUAAGCUGGAGCAUCUCCAUCCCUUUCUCCGAUAUUGAAAAGGACUUUGAUUUUAGGCCAUGGCUUCAGAUUGGCUGAA